rnacentral:rRNA from 1 species
GAUGAACGCUGGCGGCGUGCCUAAUACAUGCAAGUCGAGCGAACGGACGAGAAGCUUGCUUCUCUGAUGUUAGCGGCGGACGGGUGAGUAACACGUGGAUAACCUACCUAUAAGACUGGGAUAACUUCGGGAAACCGGAGCUAAUACCGGAUGAUAUUUUGAACCGCAUGGUUCAAAAGUGAAAGACGGUCUUGCUGUCACUUAUAGAUGGAUCCGCGCUGCAUUAGCUAGUUGGUAAGGUAACGGCUUACCAAGGCAACGAUGCAUAGCCGACCUGGGAGGGUGAUCGGCCACACUGGAACUGAGACACGGUCCAGACUCCUACGGGAGGCAGCAGUAGGGAAUCUUCCGCAAUGGGCGAAAGCCUGACGGAGCAACGCCGCGUGAGUGAUGAAGGUCUUCGGAUCGUAAAACUCUGUUAUUAGGGAAGAACAUAUGUGUAAGUAACUGUGCACAUCUUGACGGUACCUAAUCAGAAAGCCACGGCUAACUACGU